rfam:Pirellula sp. SH-Sr6A, complete genome.
AACCGCCGUAUGCGGACCCGCACGUACGGUGGUGUGGGGAGGGUGCCCGGCAACGGGCAUCCUUACCCGAU